rnacentral:rRNA from 1 species
AGUGAACGCUGGCGGUAGGCCUAACACAUGCAAGUCGAACGGCAGCACAGUAAGAGCUUGCUCUUACGGGUGGCGAGUGGCGGACGGGUGAGGAAUACAUCGGAAUCUAUUUUUUCGUGGGGGAUAACGUAGGGAAACUUACGCUAAUACCUCAUACGACUUACGGGUGAAUGCAGGUGAUCUUCGUACCUUGCGCUCUUUAAUGAGCCGAUGUCGGAUUAGUUAGUUGGCGGGGUAAAGGCCCACAAAGGCGACGAUCCGUAGCUGGUCUGAGAGGAGGAUCAGCAACACUGGAACUGAGACACGGUCAAGACUCCUACGGGAGGCAGAAGAGGGGAAUAUUGGACAAAGGGCGCAAGCCUGAUCAAGACAUACCGCGUGGGUGAAGAAGGCCUUCGAGUUGUAAAGCCCUUUUGUUGGGAAAGAAAAGCAGCAGGUUAAUACCCCGCUGUUCUGACGGUACCAAAAGAAUAAGCAACGGCUAACUUCGUG